rnacentral:rRNA from 1 species
AUUGAACGCUGGCGGCAGGCUUAACACAUGCAAGUCGAGCGAGUGGCGGACGGGUGAGUAAUGUCUGGGAAACUGCCUGAUGGAGGGGGAUAACUACUGGAACCGAUAGCUAAUACCACAUACCAUCAGAUGUGCCCAGAUGGGAUUAGCUGGUAGGUGGGGUAAGGGCGCACCUAGGCGACGCUCCCUAGCUGGUCUGAGAGGAUGACCAGCCACACUGGAACGGAGACACGUUCCAGACUCCUACGGGAGGCAGCAGUGGGGAAUAUUGCACAAUGGGCGCAAGCCUGAUGCAGCCAUGCCGCGUGUGUGAGGAGGGCCUUCGGGUUGUAAAGCACUUUCAGCGAGGAGGCGUUACUCGCAGAAGAAGCACCGGCUAACUCCGUGCCAGCAGCCGCGGUAAUUC